rnacentral:rRNA from 1 species
GGUUAAGUGACUAAGCAUACACGGUUGGAUGCCUGCAGUCAGAGGCGAUGAAGGGCGGCUAACUGAGAAAAGCGUCCGGUAAGUGAUAUGAACCGUUUAUAACCGGCGAUUACCCGAAUGGGGGAAAAAAAACCCAGUUUUUUGUGUUUCGACACCCUAUCAUGUCAUGAAUACAUAGUGGCAUGAGGCGAACCGGGGGAACUGAAACAUCAAAUACCCUCCGCGGAGGAAAGAAAUCAACCGAGAAUUCCCCCAGUAUCGGCGAGCGAACUGGGGGGAGCCCAUAACCUGAAUCGGCUGUGUGUUAGUGAAGCGUCUGAAAGUCGAGCAGCAAAGGGUGAUAUCCCCCCCCGUACACUAAAAUGCACGGUCUUGGUUUCGAUGAGUAGGGCGGGACACGUGACUCCUGUUCUGAAUAUGGGGGUACCAACCUCCCAAGGCUAAAUACUCCUGACUGACCGUAGUGAACCAUACCGUGAGGGAAAAGGGGGCGAAAAGAACAACCCGCCGGCGAGGGAGUGGAAAUUGAAACGAAUCCGUGUACGUACAAGCAGUGGAGCAACUUCGAGGUGUGACUGCGUACCUUUUGUAUAAUGGUCAGCACUUUCUUUUGUAAGCAAGGUAAUCCGUAUAGGGGACCGUAGGGAAACCGAGUCUUCACUGGGCGAAUAGUUGCAAGGUAGAGACCCCGAAACCCGUGAAUCUAGCCAUGGGCAGGUGAAUGUGGGUAACACUAACUUGAGGACCGAACCGACUAAUUUGAAACAAUUAGCGAUGACUUUGUGUGCGGGGGUGAAAGGCCAAUCAAACCGGAGAUAGCUGUUCUCCCCAAUGGAGCUAUUUAGGUAGCGCCUCGUGAACUCAUCAUCGGGUAGAGCACUGUUUUUCUGGCUAUGGGGCCAACCCGGCUUACCAAACCGAUGCAAACUCCGAAUACCCUGAAGAAUGUUUAUACACGGGAGACACACGCGGGUGCGAACGCGUCCUGCUGAAGAGGGAAACACCCAGACCGCCAUCUAAGGUCCCCAAAGUCAUUGUUAAGUGGGAAACGAUGUGGAAAGGCAUAUACCGUCCAGGAGUUGGCUUGUACACCAUCAUUUAAAAAGAAAGCGUACUAGCCACUGUCGAGUUCGGCCUGCGCUAAGAAGAACGGGGCUAAACCAUAGCCCCGAAGCAGCUGCACGACCGCUUAGGGCUGUUGUUGGGUAGGGAGCGUUCUCUGUAAGCCGUUUGAAGGUGGCCUGUAGGGUUGCUGGAGGAAUCAGAAGUGCGAAUGCUGACAUAAGUAGACGAUAAAGCGGGUGAAAAGCCCGCUCUCCGGGUAGACCAAGGGUUCCUGUCCAACGUUAAUCGGGCAGGGUGAAGUCGACCCGUCUAAGUGCGAUGUGAAAAAUCGUAGUCGAGGGAAACAUGUAAUAUUGCCUGUACUUGGUUGUUACUGCGAAGGGGGACGGAAAGGUCUAGGCUAGCCGGGCGACGGUUGUAUAUCCGGAUUCAGCGUGGUAUGGGGGUGAUGACCUGGUAAAUCCGGUUGCAUACUAACCCUGUUGCUGGAAAUGACGGAUGCACUACGGUGCAGAAGGAAUUUGAUGCCCUGCUACCAGAAAAUCCUCUAAGCUUCCAGGUAACAUUAAAUCGUACCCCAAACCGACACCGGGGUCAGGUAGAGAAUACCAAGGCGCUUGAUAAACUCGGGUGAAGAACUAGGCAAAAUGGUGCCGUAAACUUUCGGGAUAAUGCACGCUGGCAUGAAGGUGAUCCCUUUGCUGAAGAGCUGAAGCCAGUCGAAGAUACCAUCUGGCAGCACACUGUUUAAUACAAACACAGCACUGAUGCAAAACACGAAAGUGGAACGUAUAUCGGUUUGACGCCAUGCCCGUUGCUGGAAGGUUAAUUGAUGGGGUCAGCCGCAAGGCGAAGCUCUUGAUCGAAAUGCCCCAUAAACGGCGUCCGCGUAACUCUAACGGUCCUAAGCUAGCGAACUUCCUUGUCGGGUAAGUUCCGACCUGCACGACAGCUAAUGAUGUCCAUCUGUCUCCACCCGAACUCAGUGAAAUUGAACUCUGCUGAGUAAGAUGCAGUGUACCCGCGGCAAGACGGAAAGACCCCGUGAACCAUUACAUAUAGCUUGACACUGAACAUUGAGCCUUUGAAGUGUAGGAUAGGUGGGCGGCUUUGAAGCGGACGCCCAGUCUGCGUGAGCCAUCCUUGAAAUACCACCCUUGUAAAUGUUUGAUGUUUCUAACUUCGGCCCCAUAAUCAGGGGUGAGGACAGUGUCUGGUGGGUAGUUUUGACUGGGGCGGUCCUCCUCCCCGAAAGAGUAACGGAGAGCACGAAGGUUAGCUAAUCACGUCGGACAUCGUGAGGUUAAGUGCAAAGCAAGCUAGCUUUACUGCGAUAGUUGACCGGCUCGCAGGUACGAAAGUAGGUUCUAGUGAUCCGGUGGUUCUGAAUGAAGGGCCAUCGCUGGAUCAACGGAUACAAGAACUCCGGUGAUAACAGUCUGAUAACCGCCCAAAGUUCUAUCGACGGCGGUGAAUUGCACCUCGAUGUCGGCAACAACACAUCCAGGUGCUAAUUAGGUCCCAAGUUAUGGCUGUUCGCCAUUUAAAGUGGUACGCUGAGCUGGGUUUAGAACGUCGGGCCAUUCGGUCCCCUAUCAGCCGUGGGCGUUGGAAGAUUGAGAGGGGUUGCUCCUAGUACGAGAGGACCGGAGUGAACGCACCACUGGUGUUCGGGUUGUCAUGCCAAUGGCAUUGCCCGGUAGCUAAGUGCGGAAAAGAUAAGCGCUGAAAGCAUCUAAGCGCGAAACUUGCCUCAAGAUGAGUCUUCCCUGGGCCUUCAAGGCCCCUGAAGGAACGUUUAAGACUAAGACGUUGAUAGGCUGGGUGUGUAAGUGCAGCGAUGCAUUGAGCUAACCAGUACUAAUGAUCCGUGAGGCUUAACCUU